GAAUAUUGGACAAUGGGGGAAACCCUGAUCCAGCCAUGCCGCGUGUGUGAAGAAGGCCUUCGGGUUGUAAAGCACUCUAAGUUGGGAAGAAGGCUUGAGAGUUAAUACCUCUCAGGAUUGACAUUACCUACAGAAUAAGCACCGGCUAACUCCGCGCCAGCAGCCGCGGUAAUACGGAGGGUGCAAGCGUUAAUCGGAAUUACUGGGCGUAAAGCGCGCGUAGGCGGUUUGAUAAGUGUGAUGUGAAAGCCCAGGGCUUAACCUUGGAACUGCAUCACAUACUGUCAGGCUAGAGUACGAGAGAGGGGGGUAGAAUUCCUAGUGUAGCGGUGAAAUGCGUAGAUAUUAGGAGGAAUACCAGUGGCGAAGGCGGCCCCCUGGCUCGAUACUGACGCUGAGGCGCGAAAGCGUGGGGAGCAAACAGG
rnacentral:rRNA from 1 species